rnacentral:rRNA from 1 species
AGAACGAACGCUGGCGGCACGCCUAACACAUGCAAGUCGAGCGCCCAGCAAUGGGAGCGGCGGACGGGUGAGUAACACGUGGGAAUAUGCCUUUCGGUACGGAACAACUCAGGGAAACUUGAGCUAAUGCCGUAUACGCCCUUACGGGGAAAGAUUUAUCGCCGAAAGAUUAGCCCGCGUCUGAUUAGCUAGUUGGUGAGGUAAUGGCUCACCAAGGCUUCGAUCAGUAGCUGGUUUGAGAGAACGACCAGCCACACUGGGACUGAGACACGGCCCAGACUCCUACGGGAGGCAGCAGUGGGGAAUAUUGCACAAUGGGCGCAAGCCUGAUGCAGCAACGCCGCGUGAGGGACGACGGCCUUCGGGUUGUAAACCUCUUUAGUAGGGAGAAGCGAAAGUGACGGUACCUGCAGAAAAGCACCGGCUAACUACGUGCCAGCAGCCGC